rnacentral:rRNA from 1 species
AUUGAACGCUGGCGGCAGGCCUAACACAUGCAAGUCGAACGAGUGGCGGACGGGUGAGUAAUGUCUGGGCAACUGCCUGACGGAGGGGGAUAACUACUGGAAACGGUAGCUAAUACCGCAUACCAUCGGAUGUGCCCACAUGGGAUUAGCUAGUAGGUGGGGUAACGGCUCACCUAGGCGAAGCUCCCUAGCUGGUCUGCGAGGAUGACCGGCCACACUGGAACUGAGACACGGUCCAGACUCCUACGGGAGGCAGCAGUGGGGAAUAUUGGACAAUGGGCGCAAGCCGGAUGCAGCCAUGCCGCGUGUAUGAAGAAGGCCUUCGGGUUGUAAAGUACUUUCAGCGGGGAGGCGUUACCCGCAGAAGAAGCACCGGCUAACUCCGUGCCAGCAGCCGCGGUAAUAC